rnacentral:rRNA from 1 species
AAGUGAACAAGGUUUCCGUAGGUGAACCUGCGGAAGGAUCAUUACUGAAUAACUAAAUCUUUAGUUUUUCAUACCCCAUUGUUGACUUACCCAUGUUGCUUCCACGUGGACAGGCGUUCAUUCUGCCCUCUGGCUUGUUGUGCUUACCCCACACUUGACAGGGAGUUGCCCGUGGUAAGACCCCAAUAUUACACUUGUUAUAUAUACUAUAAUGUCUGAAUAAAUCAUUUCAAAUGAAAUAAAACUUUCAACAACGGAUCUCUAGGCUCUUGCAUCGAUGAAGAACGCAGUGAAAUGCGAUAAGUAAUGUGAAUUGCAGAAUCUCGUGAAUCAUCGAAUCUUUGAACGCACAUUGCGCCCUAUGGUAUUCCGUAGGGCAUGCCUGUCUGAGCGUCAGCUCCCCCCAACUCAAACUUUUGUUAGUUUGGAUUACUUUGAAGGUGUAGCUUGUCAAAGCUGCUUUUCAGAAAUUCAUAGGCAGUAUGGUUAUUCCUAGACCAGACGUAAUAAUAAUAAAACCGUCUUUUUGGGAAAGAAUUGUGCUUGCCUCAACCCACCCAUUAUCUUUUUACUUGGGUGAC